rnacentral:rRNA from 1 species
AGCGAACGCUGGCGGCAGGCCUAACACAUGCAAGUCGAACGGAUCCUUCGGGAUUAGUGGCGGACGGGUGAGUAACACGUGGGAACGUGCCCUUUGGUUCGGAACAACUCAGGGAAACUUGAGCUAAUACCGGAUGUGCCCUUCGGGGGAAAGAUUUAUCGCCAUUGGAGCGGCCCGCGUCUGAUUAGCUAGUUGGUGAGGUAAAGGCUCACCAAGGCGACGAUCAGUAGCUGGUCUGAGAGGAUGAUCAGCCACAUUGGGACUGAGACACGGCCCAAACUCCUACGGGAGGCAGCAGUGGGGAAUCUUGCGCAAUGGGCGAAAGCCUGACGCAGCCAUGCCGCGUGAAUGAUGAAGGUCUUAGGAUUGUAAAAUUCUUUCACCGGGGACGAUAAUGACGGUACCCGGAGAAGAAGCUCCGGCUAACUCCGUGCCAGCCGCCGCCGUAAUAC